ACAAAAUGAGUUAAUGGGAUUAAAAAUGAUUAAUAAUUUUAAUCCUUUCGAAUUAUUUUUUAAAUUUCACGAUUAAUUUUACUAAAUUAUUCUUAAUACUGUAAAAGGUCAUAAUAUUAAAUGAUUUCGAAAGAUUAAAACUUAUAAUCAUGUUUAAUACUUUUAAAUCCUGAUUCUGUUACUGGUUAUGAUAAGAAAUUAUUUAGAUGUUCUGACAACUGCAAAUUGUUGUCAACUUGGAAAUUUUUGACCCUGAAAUCUACUACCGGGUGUACGACUAAAUAAAAGUAACCCUGGCUAUCUGGGAUCUGGGUAUUGAAAAAAUAUAAUCUAGUAAUGAGACCCAGAUAUCUAGGUUUGUUCGGCAAGAGUUUAUUUUAAUUUGAUAAACUGCUGCCAACUAUGAAAUAUUCUAACAUUUGACUACAAUUUGAGUACAACUUGAACCUUAGUUGGUAUGAAUCUGCUACCGCUUUUGAAAGACGUUGACAGAAAGGUUAGCUUAAAGAGAUGUAUGAAACCAGAUUUAUUUUAUCAUAGAAAAAUUAUUCCGUUGAAUUGUACAAGAGAACAUUGAAUGCAGCUUUCCGAGGUCAAAUUAAAAUAAAUGUAAUACUAGUACGUACUGUAACAGAAAAAUAAAUAUUUGUGAA